rnacentral:lncRNA from 1 species
AUUCUACCAUUUACGGGUAGUCGCCCGGAUUCUACCAUUUUUCGGUACUCACAUUGAUUGGACCCAUUUCCGGUAGUCACCCGAACAGUUUUUCGAUACUCGCACGGAUUCUACCUUUUCCCGGUACUCGCACGGAUUCGACCAUUUUUCGAUACUCACACUGAUUGGACCAUUUUUCGGUACUCACCCGAACAGUUUUUCGAUACUCGCACGGAUUCUACCAUUUACGGG